GAUGAACGCUGGCGGCGUGCCUAAUACAUGCAAGUCGAGCGAACAGACGAGGAGCUUGCUCCUCUGACGUUAGCGGCGGACGGGUGAGUAACACGUGGCUAACCUACCUAUAAGACUGGGAUAAAUUCGGGAAACCGGAGCUAAUACCGGAUAAUAUAUUGAACCGCAUGGUUCAAUAGUGAAAGACGGUUUUGCUGUCACUUAUAGAUGGAUCCGCGCCGCAUUAGCUAGUUGGUAAGGUAACGGCUUACCAAGGCAACGAUGCGUAGCCGACCUGAGAGGGUGAUCGGCCACACUGGAACUGAGACACGGUCCAGACUCCUACGGGAGGCAGCAGUAGGGAAUCUUCCGCAAUGGGCGAAAGCCUGACGGAGCAACGCCGCGUGAGUGAUGAAGGUCUUCGGAUCGUAAAACUCUUUUAUUAGGGAAGAACAAAUGUGUAAGUAACUAUGCACGUCUUGACGGUACCUAAUCAGAAAGCCACGGCUAACUACGUG
rnacentral:rRNA from 1 species